rnacentral:rRNA from 1 species
AUGGCUCUUUUGUGCAAUGAAAGUGAACCCCCCCCCCCCAAAUCAACAUUGUUUGUGGCCAGGGUCUCCGCCGUCGGUGUCGGUGUCAUCUACGGCUCCGUCAAGCUCGAGCAGGCGAGGCGACCCAAUUUCCAGUUCUUAGUCUGUGUAAUUUCAAUAUAA